GACGAACGCUGGCGGCGUGCUUAACACAUGCAAGUCGAACGGAAAGGCCCUGCUUUUGUGGGGUGCUCGAGUAGCGAACGGGUGAGUAACACGUGAGUAACCUGCCCUUGACUUUGGGAUAACUUCAGGAAACUGGGGCUAAUACCGGAUAGGAGCUCCUGCUGCAUGGUGGGGGUUGGAAAGUUUCGGCGGUUGGGGGUGGACUCGCGGCUUAUCAGCUUGUUGGUGGGGUAGUGGCUUACCAAGGCUUUGGCGGGUAGCCGGCCUGAGAGGGUGACCGGCCACAUUGGGACUGAGAUACGGCCCAGACUCCUACGGGAGGCAGCAGUGGGGAAUAUUGCACAAUGGGCGGAAGCCUGAUGCAGCAACGCCGCGUGCGGGAUGACGGCCUUCGGGUUGUAAACCGCUUUCGCCUGUGACGAAGCGUGAGUGACGGUAAUGGGUAAAGAAGCACCGGCUAACUACGUGCCAGCAGCCGCGGUGAUACGUAGGGUGCGAGCGUUGUCCGGAUUUAUUGGGCGUAAAGGGCUCGUAGGUGGUUGAUCGCGUCGGAAGUGUAAUCUUGGGGCUUAACCCUGAGCGUGCUUUCGAUACGGGUUGACUUGAGGAAGGUAGGGGAGAAUGGAAUUCCUGGUGGAGCGGUGGAAUGCGCAGAUAUCAGGAGGAACACCAGUGGCGAAGGCGGUUCUCUGGGCCUUUCCUGACGCUGAGGAGCGAAAGCGUGGGGAGCGAACAGGCUUAGAUACCCUGGUAGUCCACGCUGUAAACGGUGGGUACUAGGUGUGGGGUCCAUUCCACGGGUUCCGUGCCGUAGCUAACGCUUUAAGUACCCCGCCUGGGGAGUACGGCCGCAAGGCUAAAACUCAAAGGAAUUGACGGGGCCCCGCACAAGCGGCGGAGCAUGCGGAUUAAUUCGAUGCAACGCGUAGAACCUUACCUGGGUUUGACAUGGAUCGGGAGCGCUCAGAGAUGGGUGUGCCUCUUUUGGGGUCGGUUCACAGGUGGUGCAUGGCUGUCGUCAGCUCGUGUCGUGAGAUGUUGGGUUAAGUCCCGCAACGAGCGCAACCCUUGUUCACUGUUGCCAGCACGUUAUGGUGGGGACUCAGUGGAGACCGCCGGGGUCAACUCGGAGGAAGGUGGGGAUGACGUCAAGUCAUCAUGCCCCUUAUGUCCAGGGCUUCACGCAUGCUACAAUGGCUGGUACAGAGAGUGGCGAGCCUGUGAGGGUGAGCGAAUCUCGGAAAGCCGGUCUCAGUUCGGAUUGGGGUCUGCAACUCGACCUCAUGAAGUCGGAGUCGCUAGUAAUCGCAGAUCAGCAACGCUGCGGUGAAUACGUUCCCGGGGCU
rnacentral:rRNA from 1 species